CAGUAGCCACGGUAAUACGUAGGGGGCGAGCGUUGUCCGAAUUUACUGGGCGUAAAGAGCAUUAAGGCGGUUUCUUAAGUGCGAGGUGAAAGGUUCAGGGCUCAACCCGAACACUGCCUUGCAUACUGGGAGACUUGAGUACGGGAGAGGCGAAUGGAAUUUCUGGUGUAGCGGUGAAAUGCGUAGAUAUCAGAAGGAACACCCAUGGCGAAGGCAGUUCGCUGGCCUGUAACUGACGCUGUAGUGCGAAAGCGUGGGGAGCAAACAGGAUUAGAUACCCCUGUAGUCCCUGUCUCUUAUA
rnacentral:rRNA from 1 species